rnacentral:misc_RNA from 1 species
GUGAAGAACGCAGCGAAAUGCGAUAAGUAAUGUGAAUUGCAGAAUUCAGUGAAUCAUCGAAUCUUUGAACGCACAUUGCGCCCGCCAGUAUUCUGGCGGGCAUGCCUGUUCGAGCGUCAUUUCAACCCUCAAGACCCCUUCGGGGGACUUGGUGUUGGGGACCGGCACAGGGGCCUGCCUGCUUGUCUUGCAGCGCCCUCGCCGCCCCCGAAAUGAAUUGGCGGCCUCGUCGCGGCCUCCCCUGCGUAGUAGCACAAACCUCGCAACGGGAACGUGACGGCGGCCACUGCCGUAAAACAACCCAAUUUUAUUAGAGUUGACCUCGAAUCAGGUAGGAAUACCCGCUGAACUUAAGCAUAUCAAUAAGCGGAGGA